GAUGAACGCUGGCGGCGUGCCUAAUACAUGCAAGUCGAGCGAACAGACGAGGAGCUUGCUCCUCUGACGUUAGCGGCGGACGGGUGAGUAACACGUGGAUAACCUACCUAUAAGACUGGGAUAACUUCGGGAAACCGGAGCUAAUACCGGAUAAUAUAUUGAACCGCAUGGUUCAAUAGUGAAAGACGGUUUUGCUGUCACUUAUAGAUGGAUCCGCGCCGCAUUAGCUAGUUGGUAAGGUAACGGCUUACCAAGGCGACGAUGCGUAGCCGACCUGAGAGGGUGAUCGGCCACACUGGAACUGAGACACGGCCCAGACUCCUACGGGAGGCAGCAGUAGGGAAUCUUCCGCAAUGGGCGAAAGCCUGACGGAGCAACGCCGCGUGAGUGAUGAAGGUCUUCGGAUCGUAAAACUCUGUAAUUAGGGAAGAACAAAUGUGUAAGUAACUAUGCACGUCUUGACGGUACCUAAUCAGAAAGCCACGGCUAACUACGUG
rnacentral:rRNA from 1 species